rnacentral:tRNA from 1 species
GGUUGUAGCUCAGCGGUAGAGCACUCACCUAGCAUGUGUGAGGCCCUGGGUUCAAUCCUCAGCACCA